UGGGGAAUAUUGCGCAAUGGGGGAACCCUGACGCAGCCAUGCCGCGUGAAUGAAGAAGGCCUUCGGGUUGUAAAGUUCUUUCGGUAUUGAGGAAGGUUGAUGUGUUAAUAGCACAUCAAAUUGACGUUAAAUACAGAAGAAGCACCGGCUAACUCCGUGCCAGCAGCCGCGGUAAUACGGAGGGUGCGAGCGUUAAUCGGAAUAACUGGGCGUAAAGGGCACGCAGGCGGUUAUUUAAGUGAGGUGUGAAAGCCCCGGGCUUAACCUGGGAAUUGCAUUUCAGACUGGGUAACUAGAGUACUUUAGGGAGGGGUAGAAUUCCACGUGUAGCGGUGAAAUGCGUAGAGAUGUGGAGGAAUACCGAAGGCGAAGGCAGCCCCUUGGGAAUGUACUGACGCUCAUGUGCGAAAGCGUGGGGAGCAAACAGGAUUAGAUACCCUGGUAGUCCACGCUGUAAACGCUGUCGAUUUGGGGGUUGGGGUUUAACUCUGGCGCCCGUAGCUAACGUGAUAAAUCGACCGCCUGGGGAGUACGGCCGCAAGGUUA
rnacentral:rRNA from 1 species